rnacentral:tRNA from 1 species
GCGGAAGUAGUUCAGUGGUAGAACACCACCUUGCCAAGGUGGGGGUCGCGAGUUCAAACCUCGUCUUCCGCU